CAAGGUUCCGUAGGUGAACCUGCGGAGGAUCAUUG
rnacentral:rRNA from 1 species